UGUAGUGUGACCGAGCGAGAGGCAGUGAGCUGUACCUCACCCACUGGGGCGUACCCCACGUUACCUAGCC
rnacentral:tRNA from 1 species